rnacentral:rRNA from 1 species
AGAGUGAACGCUGGCGGUAGGCCUAACACAUGCAAGUCGAACGGCAGCACAGUAGGAGCUUGCUCUUACGGGUGGCGAGUGGCGGACGGGUGAGGAAUACAUCGGAAUCUACCUUUUGGCGGGGGAUAACGUAGGGAAACUUACGCUAAUACCGCAUACGCCCUUCGGGGGAAAGCCGGGGACCAGCAAUGGCCUGGUGCUGAUAGAUGAGCCGAUGUCGGAUUAGCUAGUUGGUGAGGUAAUGGCUCACCAAGGCGACGAUCCGUAGCUGGUCUGAGAGGAUGAUCAGCCACACUGGAACUGAGACACGGUCAGACUCCUACGGGAGCAGCAGUGGGGAAUAUUGGACAAUGGG